GCGCCUGUAGCUCAGUGGACAGAGCCGCAGACUUCGAAUCUGUGAGAGCGGGGGUUCGAAUCCCUCCAGGCGCG
rnacentral:tRNA from 1 species